UGACACGGGGAUAUUCCAGGAUGACGAUGCAGUUUCAACUGGCUGAAAGUGUGAGCAAAAGUUCAGACCUGAAGUCCAUAGAGAAUCUUUGUGAUGUUUUGGAGAAGUUUUGCUCGAUGGUUAGUCUCUCCCAUCAUCAGUACAAGAUCUCGGUGAAAAAUGAAUGCAACACUGGAUGGAAAUAAAUCUCGUGACAUUGCAGAAGCUUAUUGAAACAAUGCCAAAGUGAAUAC